rnacentral:rRNA from 1 species
GAUGAACGCUGGCGGCGUGCCUAAUACAUGCAAGUCGAGCGAACAGACGAGGAGCUUGCUCCUCUGACGUUAGCGGCGGACGGGUGAGUAACACGUGGAUAACCUACCUAUAAGACUGGGAUAACUUCGGGAAACCGGAGCUAAUACCGGAUAAUAUAUUGAACCGCAUGGUUCAAUAGUGAAAGACGGUUUUGCUGUCACUUAUAGAUGGAUCCGCGCCGCAUUAGCUAGUUGGUAAGGUAACGGCUUACCAAGGCAACGAUGCGUAGCCGACCUGAGAGGGUGAUCGGCCACACUGGAACUGAGACACGGUCCAGACUCCUACGGGAGGCAGCAGUAGGGAAUCUUCCGCAAUGGGCGAAAGACUGACGGAGCAACGCCGCGUGAGUGAGGAAGGUCUUCGGAUCGUAAAACUCUGUUAUUAGGGAAGAACAAAUGUGUAAGUAACAAUGCACGUAUUGACGGUACCUAAUCAGAAAGCCACGGCUAACUACGUG